GACGUAGGGCGCGAGCGUUGUCCGGAUUUAUUGGGCGUAAAGAGCUCGUAGGUGGUUCGGUAAGUCGGGUGUUAAACCCCCAGGCUCAACCUGGGGACGCCACUCGAUACUGCUGUGACUUGAGUCCGGUAGGGGAGCGUGGAAUUCCUGGUGUAGCGGUGAAAUGCGCAGAUAUCAGGAGGAACACCAGCGGCGAAGGCGGCGCUCUGGGCCGGUACUGACACUGAGGAGCGAAAGCGUGGGUAGCAAACAGG
rnacentral:rRNA from 1 species